rnacentral:rRNA from 1 species
AUUGAACGCUGGCGGCAUGCUUUACACAUGCAAGUCGAACGGCAGCACGGGUGCUUGCACCUGGUGGCGAGUGGCGGACGGGUGAGUAAUACAUCGGAACGUGUCCAGAAGAGGGGGAUAACGCAUCGAAAGAUGUGCUAAUACCGCAUAUGCUCUGAGGAGGAAAGUAGGGGAUCGAAAGACCUUACGCUUUUGGAGCGGCCGAUGUCUGAUUAGCUAGUUGGUGGGGUAAGGGCCUACCAAGGCGACGAUCAGUAGUUGGUCUGAGAGGACGACCAGCCACACUGGGACUGAGACACGGCCCAGACUCCUACGGGAGGCAGCAGUGGGGAAUUUUGGACAAUGGGCGCAAGCCUGAUCCAGCAAUGCCGCGUGAGUGAAGAAGGCCUCGGUGUAAGCUCUUCUAGUCGAGAAGAAAUACGCACAGGUUAAUA